rnacentral:rRNA from 1 species
UACGAGGGGGGCGAGCGUUGUUCGGAAUUAUUGGGCGUAAAGGGUGCGUAGGCGGUUCCGCAAGUCCUGUGUGAAAUCUUCGGGCUCAACUCGAAGUCUGCACGGGAAACUGCGGGGCUUGAGUGUGGGAGAGGUGAGUGGAAUUCCCGGUGUAGCGGUGAAAUGCGUAGAUAUCAGGAGGAACACCGGUGGCGAAGGCGGGUCUCUGGGCAGUAACUGACGCUGAGGAGCGAAAGCGUGGGGAGCGAACAGG